rnacentral:rRNA from 1 species
UACGUAGGGUGCAAGCGGUAAUCGGAAUUACUGGGCGUAAAGCGUGCGCAGGCGGUUUUGUAAGUCUGAUGUGAAAUCCCCGGGCUCAACCUGGGAAUUGCAUUGGAGACUGCAAGGCUAGAAUCUGGCAGAGGGGGGUAGAAUUCCACGUGUAGCAGUGAAAUGCGUAGAGAUGUGGAUGAACACCGAUGGCGAAGGCAGCCCCCUGGGUCAAGAUUGACGCUCAUGCACGAAAGCGUGGGGAGCAAACAGG